rnacentral:rRNA from 1 species
UCCGUAGGUGAACCUGCGGAGGGAUCAUUACUGAGUUUUUAACUCUCCAAACCAUGUGAACUUACCACUGUUGCCUCGGUGGUCGGUGCUGGAAACAGUGCUGCCACCGGUGGACUACUAAACUCUUGUUAAUUUUUGUCAAAUCUGAAUCAAAACUAAGAAAUAAGUUAAAACUUUCAACAACGGAUCUCUUGGUUCUGGCAUCGAUGAAGAACGCAGCGAAAUGCGAUAAGUAAUGUGAAUUGCAGAAUUCAGUGAAUCAUCGAAUCUUUGAACGCACAUUGCGCUCCUUGGUAUUCCGGGGAGCACACCUGUUUGAGUAUCAAUAAUCUCUCACAUCUUAUUUUUGGGUUUAACAGCUCGCUGAUAAGAUUGUGGAUUUGGAUAAUCUGUUCUUUACGGAACCGUUAUCUUAAUUUUAAUGUCAAAAGCUCCUCUGAAAAGAGACAGAUGCUUGAGAUGAUAGAAUAAGUUUUAACUACUUUUUUGCUCUCUUGCGACAACUCUGUCUCAUACAAAAUUUUCAUUUGAGCGUCUUUGAUACCUUUAAUUAUUACCUACGGAUUGGUUACAGGUUGGUAACGGGUUGGUUUGGAAUACUUGGGGUCUCAAAUCAGGGGUGGGGGGAAAACCCGGCUGGAACUUAAGCAUAUCAAUAAGCGGA